CAUGGUUCGGUCCCAUGUCUAGGCG
rnacentral:misc_RNA from 1 species